UACGUAGGGGGCAAGCGUUGUCCGGAAUUAUUGGGCGUAAAGAGCGCGUAGGCGGUCCGGUAAGUCGGUUGUGAAAGUCGGGGGCUCAACCCUCGGAUGCCGAUCGAUACUGUCGGGCUAGAGUCCGGAAGAGGCGAGUGGAAUUCCUGGUGUAGCGGUGAAAUGCGCAGAUAUCUGGAGGAACACCGGUGGCGAAGGCGGCAUCCUGGACCGACACUGACGCUGAGGAGCGAAAGCCAGGGGAGCAAACGGG
rnacentral:rRNA from 1 species